CAGUAGCCGCGGUAAUACGUAGGUGGCAAGCGUUGUCCGGAAUUAUUGGGCGUAAAGGGCUCGCAGGCGGUUUCUUAAGUCUGAUGUGAAAGCCCCCGGCUCAACCGGGGAGGGUCAUUGGAAACUGGGAAACUUGAGUGCAGAAGAGGAGAGUGGAAUUCCACGUGUAGCGGUGAAAUGCGUAGAGAUGUGGAGGAACACCAGUGGCGAAGGCGACUCUCUGGUCUGUAACUGGCGCUGAGGAGCGAAAGCGUGGGGAGCGAACAGGAUUAGAUACCCCUGUAGUCCCUGUCUCUUAUAC
rnacentral:rRNA from 1 species